ACUGGGAUUAGAUACCCCACUAUGCUUGGCAGUAAACCUUAAAUUACACCUUAAUCGCCCGGGAACUACGAGCUAAGCUUAAAACCCAAAGGACUUGACGGUACCCCAAAUCCACCUAGAGGAGCCUGUCCUAUAAUCGAUAACCCCCGCUUUACCUCACCACUUUUGUUAAUCAGCCUGUAUACCUCCGUCGUCAGCUUACCCCGUGAGCGAAAACAGUGAGCUUAAUGCCAUUUCACCAAUACGUCAGGUCAAGGUGCAGCUUAUGAAGUGGAAAGAGAUGGGCUACACUCCCUAAUUUAGGAUACACRAUAAACUACUUAUGAAAUCUAGUCUUAAGGCGGAUUUAGAAGUAAAAAGGAAUUAGAGAGUCCUUUUUAACCUGGCACUGGGGUGUGUACACACCGCCCGUCACCCU
rnacentral:rRNA from 1 species